GACGAACGCUGGCGGCGUGCUUAACACAUGCAAGUCGAACGGAAAGGCCCUGCUUUUGUGGGGUGCUCGAGUGGCGAACGGGUGAGUAACACGUGAGUAACCUGCCCUUGACUUUGGGAUAACUUCAGGAAACUGGGGCUAAUACCGGAUAGGAGCUCCUGCUGCAUGGUGGGGGUUGGAAAGUUUCGGCGGUUGGGGAUGGACUCGCGGCUUAUCAGCUUGUUGGUGGGGUAGUGGCUUACCAAGGCUUUGACGGGUAGCCGGCCUGAGAGGGUGACCGGCCACAUUGGGACUGAGAUACGGACCAGACUCCUACGGGAGGCAGCAGUGGGGAAUAUUGCACAAUGGGCGGAAGCCUGAUGCAGCAACGCCGCGUGCGGGAUGACGGCCUUCGGGUUGUAAACAGCUUUCGACUGUGACGAAGCGUGAGUGACGGUAAUGGGUAAAGAAGCACCGGCUAACUACGUG
rnacentral:rRNA from 1 species